rnacentral:rRNA from 1 species
GGAGCAAUACCGCGUGAGGGAGGAAGGCUCUUGGGUUGUAAACCUCUUUUCUCAGGGAAGAAAAAAAUGACGGUACCUGAGGAAUAAGCAUCGGCUAACUCCGUGCCAGCAGCCGCGGUAAUACGGAGGAUGCAAGCGUUAUCCGGAAUGAUUGGGCGUAAAGGGUCCGCAGGUGGCAUUGUAUGUCUGCUGUUAAAGAGUCUGGCUCAACCAGAUCAAAGCAGUGGAAACUACAAAGCUAGAGUAUGGUCGGGGCAGAGGGAAUUCCUGGUGUAGCGGUGAAAUGCGUAGAUAUCAGGAAGAACACCGGUGGCGAAGGCGCUCUGCUAGGCCAAAACUGACACUGAGGGACGAAAGCUAGGGGAGCGAAUGGGAUUAGAUACCCCAGUAGUCCUAGCCGUAAACGAUGGAUACUAGGUGUAGCUCGUAUCGACCCGAGCUGUACCGUAGCUAACGCGUUAAGUAUCCCGCCUGGGGAGUACGCAGGCAACUGUGAAACUCAAAGGAAUUGACGGGGGCCCGCACAAGCGGUGGAGUAUGUGGUUUAAUUCGAUGCAACGCGAAGAACCUUACCAAGGCUUGACAUGUCACGAAUUCCGGCGAAAGUUGGGAGUGCCUUAGGGAGCGUGAACACAGGUGGUGCAUGGCUGUCGUCAGCUCGUGUCGUGAGAUGUUGGGUUAAGUCCCGCAACGAGCGCAACCCUCGUUUUUAGUUGCCAGCAUUAAGUUGGGCACUCUAGAGAGACUGCCGGUGACAAACCGGAGGAAGGUGGGGAUGACGUCAAGUCAGCAUGCCCCUUACGUCUUGGGCUACACACGUACUACAAUGCUCCGGACAAAGGGCAGCUACACAGCGAUGUGAUGCGAAUCUCAUAAACCGGAGCUCAGUUCAGAUCGAAGGCUGCAACUCGCCUUCGUGAAGGAGGAAUCGCUAGUAAUUGCAGGUCAGCAUACUGCAGUGAAUUCGUUCCCGGGCCUUGUACACACCGCCCGUCACACCAUGGAAGUUGGUCACGCCCGAAGUCGUUACCCCAACCUUUUGGAGGGGGAUGCCUAAGGUAGGACUGAUGACUGGGGUGAAGUCGUAACAAGGUAGCCGUACCGGAAGGUGUGGCUGGAUCACCUCCUUUUAGGGAGACCUA